rnacentral:lncRNA from 1 species
UCACUCUUGUAGACGAUCUCGAUAUUAUAUGCUAUCCAACGUUCCUUCUGCCCUGAACAAAAGCUGGUUCCAUUAAGAGCAGAUGCCUUCAUUCUUAAUCCUAUCUUUCCACGGUGCAGCCAUUCAUCCUUCUUAAUACUCAUAUGAGCAUGCUGCUUCUAAACAACAACACCAACAACAGUGACAUGAAUAACCAUCUAUAAUUGGGCGGAAUAAAUAAGAAACAUCGAUCUACAAACAUUCUUGCAAUCCAACUUAAUCCAUCUAACAUUAACCUGUUCAGCACAAUCGUCACUCUCGCAAUCAUUUUUCAUAAUCAAGCAAUGAUACUAAAAAUGCUCCAUCUCACCAAUCUUUCUUAAGCCCCAUAACUCCUAAUUGUUAUUCUAUAAUAUUAUUGAGAAGUCUUAUAGCAUUCCACUUUGUCGUUACAAUUGAUUAAACUUCCUGUGAUUUAGAGUACAACGGUUGUUUCACAUGGUAUCAGAGCAGGAGGUCCUGAGUUCGAGUCACGUCUGGGCUCGAGACUUUUUAAUUGGCCUAUGACGUGGGCUUGAAUUAAAUGGAAGGAAAUUAAUAUGCUAGGAGCCUGGCGUGACUCGAACUCAGGACCUCCAGCUCUGAUACCAUGUGAAACAACCGUUGUACUCUAAAAGCUUAAGCUUUCAGAGUACAACGGGUGUUUCACACUAACUGAUUCACCAUCAUCUCUCCUUACAACAAUCCCAGAUCUUAGAGUCCCUUUGAUAGUUCAGUGAUAAUCUGGGUGCAUAUUCUAAAUCCAUUGUAAGUUCAUGAUUCAAUUCAUCAAGUUCAAUUGUUUUUUCUCAGCAAGUAACGCAAUCUUCCCAAAUCCCAAAUGAAACCCUAAUUUUCAUGAAACCGAACGCGCAAAAAUAACUAGAAAAAAAGCUAUGCAUUACGGAAAACUUUUUCUUCGAGAAUUUUUUUUUUCAUGAUUUUCCAAGUCGCGGUAUCGAGAUAGUACAGGGACUAUCUCAUACAUUUCACCCUUAAAUUUCUAACCACAAAUAAAAAACAAAAAAGAAAAAAAUAAAAAACUUAAAAAAACCCUAAUUUUGUUGCUAAUUAACCACCCUAAAUAAAUAAAUUAAUUAAUAAUAACCUAAUUAAUUAGCUAACUAUUUUUAGCAAACACAUACACACAUGCAGCCACUAUAAAACCUGGCCUCCACCCCUCUCCUUUUCCCCUCAAGCCUGCAGUUAGAUUGAGGUCCAGUCUUCCCUCACCAAUAAAAUUCCGAAACCGCAAUAAAGUGCAGGCUUCCGCGGUCUCAGUCCGGUCGACGCAUAUAAAUAUAUUUUUUUAUAUCGCGAUGGAGAUGAAGAAGAUCGCCUGCGCCGCUCUCGUCGCCGCCGCAUCCGCCACCGCCGCUCUCGCCAACGACGCGGCGGCAGCUCCCGCGCCUGGACCCGCCAGCGGAGCCCUCGCGGCCGCCCCCGCCGUCGGCACCGUCGUCGGCGCCGCCCUCCUCUCCUUCCUUGCUUACUGCUUGCACUGAAAUUCCCCUCGAUCUCUCCUGAGCCCUGAUCACCAUGAGAGAGAAAUUAAUGUAUGGAGGAGAGAGAGAGAGAGAGGUUAUGAUGAGAGUUUAAUUAGCUUAUUAUGAAGUAAUGAU